UACUACAGCCAUACCACAAUGAACAUGCCCGAUCUAGUCUGAUCUCGGAAGCCAAGCAGGGUCGAGCCUAGUUAGUACUUGGAUGGCAGAACCAUGGCCAAGGCAGUGGUGC
rnacentral:rRNA from 1 species